UACAGAGGCCUCGAGCGUUAGGCGGAAUCACUGGGCUUAAAGCGUGUGUAGGCGGACGUCUAAGUACCUUGUGAAAUCCCACGGCUCACCCGUGGAACGGCGGGGUAUACUGGUCGUCUUGAGCCUUCUAGGGGCUACCGGAACAAAUGGUGGAGCGGUGAAAUGCGUAGAUAUCAUUUGGAACGCCAAUGGUGAAAACAGGUAGCUGGGGAAGUGCUGACGCUGAGACACGAAAGCCAGGGGAGCGAACGGG
rnacentral:rRNA from 1 species